AAAAGUCUUGAUUUGAAAAACAGUUGUGAUAUGCUAACGUCCUUCAGAUUAGAUUGAUGAAGCUUUGCGGUAUUGUUGUUUUGUUAUGAUUUCAGGCUCGCGCUGUCUUGGAACGAGAAUUUAACAACCUUUUGGUCAUGGGGACGGACAGAAGUUUUGAUGAAGACCAUGAUAAAAGCUUUAGGAGAGCACCUUCUUGGAGAAAAAAAUUUAGACCAAAGGAUGUUCGUGGCUUAGCUGCUGGGUCCGCAGAGACUCUCCCCGCCAACUUCCGGGUCACGUCCUCUCUGUCCUCACCCUCCAUGCAGCCGAAGAAGACGCAGCUGGACGGCAGCGUGUCGGGAGCGCAGAGGCUGGACGCCGCCACGGUCAGGACUUACUCCUGCUGAAGCCCCGUGUUUACCCACACUACUUCUACAGAUGACCGUGCAGCGCUCGGGACCCGGCGAAGACGGCCUUUCAGAAUUCAGUGGAUCUGCAAUCUGUUGAUACUUGUUAUAUGGACCCUAAGAUAUUUUAUUACAGAGUUUUUAAUUAGUGAAAAAUUCACGAAUACCAUAGAGAAAAUAUUUUAGAAUUUAAUGUUUCUUAUAUUUAUGUAAACAUGACUUCAUUUAUAUAGUUAGUUACUUUUUCAUGUAUAUCCAGGCUAUAAAUAUCCUUUCAAAUCGAUUCUGUUCUUCUAUCUAAUUUUAGUCUUUCAAACGAAUGUACUGUAAUGCUUGUAUGUAUAAAUCCUAUGAAAAGAUACAGGGCUUUUGUAAAUUAUGCAUUUAUUGUAAUUAUCAUUAAUUUUUUAAUAAUAAUCGGCGAGAGAGAAGAGGAUUUUACUGCAUUUGCAUUUGUAAGAUCAUCAUGACAUGGUGCGCGUUAUCCUGACAAAUGUAACCAGCUCUACAACAAUCAUUUUGAAACAAGCAGACUUAAUUUCAAGCAAUUGCGUUUUAAUGACUGACCUUACUCUACUUUUUCUAGCAAGAAAUGCUUUAUUCUGCAGCGUGAACAGACUGAAAGUACCUGGUGUUAAAUAUGAGCUUCUGAUAAAAUUUGGGCUGAAGGGGCCGUCAGAACUGUGAGCAUCUCUGGUGGCUCUCAGUAGCUUGCAGAGCUCGUCCCUGGAGACCCGCACGGCUUGUCCUCAGCGCCCGGCACGAGCCCCAGCCGGGAGCACUUCUCUCGGCCGCAGGAAGGGCUGGGGGGCUCUCUGGGCUCUGCCCGACGGGCGGACUCGGGCCCCCGCCCCGCUGCUCUUUGAGGACCAAGCAGGAAGCACCGCGCUCCACAGGGACGCCCGUGCCGGAAGAGGAAGGCGCGGGCUCCCUGAAACCAGGAAACCACGCAGUGCGACUCUACUAAAGGCCUUAUUUUUUCUUAUGUAAAUCAUCUUUUUACAUUUGUUUGUAAACAUGUUGAAAGGAGGGACCUAUUGGUACAUUUUUAGCUUUUGACGAUAUAGCCGUUUUGGACUGUCUAAGUAGCAGAUGUAACUUUUCCUUUUUAAAUGGCACAUUAAAGAGCCAGCAGGAAAUGUGUUCCCACCACGGUGCAUUAUUUAUUAUACAGCUCAUUUUGUCAGUGGACGGUUUACAUUCGGUUUCUGCUUUUAACUUCCUUGUACGAUUCAUUCGUUGUUACAUUCUGUUUUCUGUUAAUCUUUUGUGAACCUCCUGAUUAUGUAACAAAGUAUGUACAGUCUCCUUUUGAACUAUUUUUAUCACAGUAUUAUUUAUUGCUUUCUUUCAAUAAAGUACUGAGGCGUUUUCCACUGCCAAUAAAGGAUA